rnacentral:rRNA from 1 species
GACGAACCGUGCGAACGUUGUUCGGAAUCACUGGGCUUAAAGGGCGCGUAGGCGGACCACCAAGUCCGGGGUGAAAUCCUCCGGCUUAACCGGAGAAUUGCCUGGGAUACUGGUGGUCUUGAGGGAGGUAGGGGCACGCGGAACUUCCGGUGGAGCGGUGAAAUGCGUUGAUAUCGGAAGGAACGCCGGUGGCGAAAGCGGCGUGCUGGCCCUCUUCUGACGCUGAGGCGCGAAAGCCAGGGGAGCGAACGGGAUUAGAAACCCCUGUAGU